rnacentral:rRNA from 1 species
GCCGGCAGCUAGCUCUCUGCAACUUCAUAGGGUCGCCCACUGAAGUUAAGCAGGGCUGAACCUGGUAAGUACCUGGAUGGGAAACCACAUGGGAAAGCUAGGUUGCUGUUGGAA